UUCCUACAACAUAGUGUUAAUGCAUUGGAUCCCAUUAGAACUCCGUUGUUAAGCACACUUAGUCGAGAGUAGUACUAGGAUGGGUGAUCGCAUGGGAAGUCCUAGUGUUUUAUGUAC
rfam:Picea glauca, whole genome shotgun sequence.